GCACUGGUGGCUUAAGUGGUUAGAACGUCCGCCUCGGAUGCAGGAGAUCACGGGUUAGAAUCCCCGUCGAGUCAUACU